CGUGGCCGGGAGCCGGGCAGGGACAGUGUCCCAAGUUCCCGAGGGCAGCAGGCCGCAGGCCCGGGGGCUGCCUGCCCGCCCGCGGGGUGAGAGGUGUCCCCUCUCACACCUCCCCCUCCCCAGCAGCCUGCCCCCCGAUGGGUUUGUCUGCCAGCUCUCUUUGCACAGAGGGAAACCAGGCAGCUGUUAAAGGACUGUUUAUCAAGACUAUUGCAUUACUUCAUAGCUCAGCAUCCCAGGAGAGCGUUUAAUCGCCCCAAGAGGUUUUUUCCAGGUCUGCUUGACAAACAGUUUGCAUUUUUCUGGUGGGGGCCUAUUAAAGAAUAAGCAUCAUCUCCUGGCUUAUCUCUGACAGCCCUGUAUGGGGUUUGUUGCUUGUGUUGCCCAAAUUCCAUUGUCUUCCACAAGACUCAAGAAGUCAGGAGCAAACCCCCCAUUUUUAUUUCUGUGCCAUGAGCUGUGUCAGUCCACUAUGAGCAAUUGCUGUUACAACCAGGAGUAGCAAGAACGACAGAAGCAAAAGGGGUUUUAUACAACUAUAUGAGUUACAUAUGUAUAUAUGUAUAUAGUCAUGGUUGUAAUGUUUUGCUCUGCCUUGAAUUUUACAGGCUGUUUCAACAAUCAGAAAAUUAAAAAAUAACAGACUAUAGGCCAUGAUAUUUGACCUUUUUUUUUUUUUUAAACUUUAAUCACAUCCAGAUACUGAGAAUGAGGAGAAGACGGGGCAGUACCUAACGGGAUGAAGAAGCUAUGCAAAUAAACAUGGACUAAUCCAUUGCCAUGCACUAUAAUGGGAGGACAUCCUGAUCACUGUGGAGCAGUAGCAACUUUACCUGGUUUCUUUCAGGGCCUGCAUGGAUGUAUGCCAGCCUGUCCUGCAGGAUACAGCCCAGUGAAUAGGAGAAAAAAUGUGUUUGAACUUGGCAUAAUUGCAAUGAACAUAAAGUGACUGCCCACCAAAAGAAAAUGAAGAUGCAUCACUUCAGCUUUUAUAAGGAAGGUCUGUGCAGCUUUUGUAAUAUCCACAAAUAGAAAGUGGUUACAGAGGUCUUCAGCUUUCUCUGCUUCUGGGGUUGCAGUGUACAUCACAACAUUACCUGUUGCCGCUGCACUAUUUCUCCUUGUCCUUUUAAUUUGAGAUAGGCUGCAUCCUCCUCAAUAAUCUUUCAGGUUUAUGACCUGGAUCAUAAAAUGUGACCACUAAAAUAGGGUGGAUGAUUAUUUUGCAAAGUAGGAUCUGGGGGAGCGUUGUGACCUGAUAUCUUUGUAGAACUGGCUGCCUCACAAAAUAGCUGCUCUGAGGGGGGUGGGCAUUCAGUUUGCCAAGUGUUAAAUUGGACAUACCCUAGAAAAAGUUAGACGGACUCCUCUGAAUCAAUGAGGGAGGCUGAGGUCUCUGAUAUGUUAAUUACAUGUUGAUGGAAGGCACAGUAGUCCAUUGCCCUUUCUGAACUACAGUAUUAGUACAAAAAGCAAUGAAAAAUCAUCGCAGCAGAGACUGUCACCCUUGUUCCCAUGUGUGCUAUAUUUCUUCCAUGGAUACCAAAUAGGAAAGCAAAUGUAGUUCUUCUGAUUAUUUAUUUUCUUCAAGUGCUGUCUCACAAAAUAAGGCUCUGUGACUUUCUGCCCCACACCACUUUUCGAUGCUCUUGAUUUAGAAACCAGAGCUGCUUCAUCAGUGCCAGCUCCACACUGUGGUUGGGCUCAGGAAAAGAAUUGCAUUGAUGGAUUAGUGCAACAACCCUCCCAGCUAUGGAAGGGUGCAUCUUACAAGAAAGUCCAUAGGUGACUAAUCAGCCAGACUGGUUAUCCCUCACCCACAGUGAGAAUGACGUGCUGUCUGCUGAGUGACGUUUCUCAUCUGGGAUAUUCCUGCACAUCUGGACACCUUCCACAGACUGUCUCAAGAGAGAGGAAAGAGAGUUUCAAAGGAUUCAUUGGCUUUCUGAUGGCAAACAUCAAACAGAAUGGGUGGUGUUUCACAAACACACUACGUAAUGGGGAAAGGGAAGUAGGAUCUUCAGCGAUGGCCACCACGGCAGCAGUAUGUACAGUAAUUUAUAUGGUGGAUUCAUCUGGAGAUUAUGUUACAGAACAAGCGAUGCAAGAAAGCAAAGGAAACACAAACCCUUUUUUAACCAGUGCUCUAUAUUUUCAGUUAUAGCUGGCACAGUUUAUUACUUUUUAAGGCACUGAACAUAACUAUAUUAAACCCAUGAAGAUG